rnacentral:lncRNA from 1 species
GGACAAAAUGGGAUGAAUGGAUGAAGAUGGAGUGUAAAACUUCUUAGAAGGUUCACCUCUUGAAAUCAUAUAGAAAAUGAUUCAAGUGUGUCCUUUGGAAUAGGCAAUGAGCAAUAACAAACAAGCAAAGCAAAGGAAGAAAGUCAACAAAAGCGGAUACCGGAUGCCAAUCACUGGUCUUAUACUAAUCUCCUAAAACAGAACUGGAUAUCAGAGGCCACUCUAUGGACUUAUACCAAUCUCCUCAACAAAGAAAUAAAACGUGGAUACCGGAUGCCAAUCUAUCUGGACUUAUACCAACCUCCAACAAAAACAAAGCAAACACUUGGAUGUCAGAUGCCAAUCUAUCUGGGCUUACUCUAACCUCCAAUAUAUGAUCAUAGGAAAACAAAUGCCAAAUUACA